rnacentral:pre_miRNA from 1 species
AAAAUGUUCCAGAUAAAAGUUGUAAGGUUCAAGAAGAGGCAUCAGAUGGUGACCUUGAACUUGACCUUGAGGUUGAUUUUCAUUUUGAAAAUUAAUAUUUCAAAGUGAAAAUCAACCUCAAGGUCAAGUUCAAGGUUACCGUCUGAUGUCUGUCUUUGAACCUCACAACUUUUAUCUAAAAUACUUU